rnacentral:pre_miRNA from 1 species
AGGUCAUAUAUGCAGCCAAGGAUGACUUGCCGGAAAACUAUUUCGAUAAUUUUAUGACCCAAAUUAAAUCAUGUGGACAGCCAAGGCUCCUAAACUGAGUUUGCACUAAAAGUAUAUGUCUUAUUGUUUUUAUGCAAACUUAGUUUAAGAGUCUUGCAACUGAAACAACUAGCUAGACGUUGUAAGUUCAAUGUGACUAGUUGUCCGGCAAGUCGUCUAUGGCUACAUGAAGGCCUCC